GACAGAAGCCUCGAGCGUUAGGCGGAAUCACUGGGCUUAAAGCGUGUGUAGGCGGGCCCGUAAGUGUCUUGUGAAAUCCCACGGCUCAACCGUGGAACUGCUGGGCAUACUGCGGGUCUUGGGCCAACUAGGGGCAGCCGGAACAAGCGGUGGAGCGGUGAAAUGCGUAGAUAUCGCUUGGAACGCCGAAGGUGAAAACAGGCUGCUGGGGUUGCGCCGACGCUGAGACACGAAAGCCAGGGGAGCAAACGGG
rnacentral:rRNA from 1 species